CACACUGCCGAGAAAAGCCUCUAGAUAGAAAAUAGGUGCCCGUACCGCAAACCGACACAGGUAGUCAAGAUGAGAAUUCUAAGGUGAGCGAGCGAACUCUCGUUAAGGAACUCGGCAAAAUGACCCCGUAACUUCGGGAGAAGGGGUGCUCUUUAGGGUUAACGCCCAGAAGAGCCGCAGUGAAUAGGCCCAAGCGACUGUUUAUCAAAAACACAGGUCUCUGCUAAACCGUAAGGUGAUGUAUAGGGGCUGACGCCUGCCCGGUGCUGGAAGGUUAAGAGGAGUGGUUAGCUUCUGCGAAGCUACGAAUCGAAGCCCCAGUAAACGGCGGCCGUAACUAUAACGGUCCUAAGGUAGCGAAAUUCCUUGUCGGGUAAGUUCCGACCCGCACGAAAGGCGUAACGAUUUGGGCACUGUCUCAACGAGAGACUCGGUGAAAUCAUAGUACCUGUGAAGAUGCAGGUUACCCGCGACAGGACGGAAAGACCCCGUGGAGCUUUACUGUAGCCUGAUAUUGAAAUUCGGCACAGCUUGUACAGGAUAGGUAGGAGCCUUUGAAACGUGAGCGCUAGCUUACGUGGAGGCGCUGGUGGGAUACUACCCUAGCUGUGUUGGCUUUCUAACCCGCACCACUUAUCGUGGUGGGAGACAGUGUCAGGCGGGCAGUUUGACUGGGGCGGUCGCCUCCUAAAAGGUAACGGAGGCGCUCAAAGGUUCCCUCAGAAUGGUUGGAAAUCAUUCAUAGAGUGUAAAGGCAUAAGGGAGCUUGACUGCGAGACCUACAAGUCGAGCAGGGUCGAAAGACGGACUUAGUGAUCCGGUGGUUCCGCAUGGAAGGGCCAUCGCUCAACGGAUAAAAGCUACCCCGGGGAUAACAGGCUUAUCUCCCCCAAGAGUUCACAUCGACGGGGAGGUUUGGCACCUCGAUGUCGGCUCAUCGCAUCCUGGGGCUGUAGU
rnacentral:rRNA from 1 species